rnacentral:misc_RNA from 1 species
UCAGUGGCCAACAGAUCGCCAGAUCGUUGAGCUGCAUUGGCGGGAUUUCGCCGUCUUCGUUUCUCUUUCUUCGCGGACGAACACGCGCUGGGCCUGCAACGGCAGGAUCCAGGGUCCUUAACGGGAUGUGCGUUAGGGGCUUGUAGCUCAGUUGGUUAGAGCGCGCGCUUGAUAAGCGUGAGGUCGGAAGUUCAAGUCUUCCCAGGCCCACCACUUUCAUCGAGUGAGCAUUCGUCUUCUGGUUACGGGGCCAUAGCUCAGCUGGGAGAGCGCGUGCUUUGCAAGCAUGAGGUCGUCGGUUCGAUCCCGUCUGGCUCCACCAGAUGGUUUGAUCACCGAGAUCUUGACCGUCGUCCGCGAAACAUCACUUCGCAUCCUGCUAGUCUGGAUAGACAGCAGUUUGCGUGUUUUCUGACAUCGUAAAGAGGAGAUCGAUCCGAGUUGGGUCGUGCAGCAUAUCGUUGCGCGAGCCUUCAUUAUCUCCGGAUCAUUUCGGCGCUCGCUUCCAGCCGUGAGGUUGGAUGCGGGUUGUAAAUGAUCCUUUUAGCGAAGCUUGACCGCCUCGCUAUCGGAACGAUCUUACGAAGCAAGCUGGUCUUUCUAGUCAAUGUCCGGCUGCGGAUAGCGUUCAUCGAGGGCGCGUGCCGCAAGGCAAUUCUGCAGACAACAUUCUGCCGAGUGUGUGGACAUUGAUAAUGAGAGCAAUCAAGUGCCUUAAGGGUGUUCGGUGGAUGCCUUGGCGCUGAGAGGCGAUGAAGGACGUGCUACGCUGCGAUAAGCCGUGGGGAGCUGCGAAGAAGCUUUGAUCCGCGGA